CACGGAAGAAUACAGUUUUGAUGAUAAAGAAAACAAGGUCAACACCCCUCGUCGUUCACCAAGAAAAGCAGCAGAUGGAUUCCCAGAAGACAACAUGAAUGGUACACCAAGAAGAUCUCCAAGGAAGCCGAUUUCUGGCAGCACCCCACAGGGAUCACCAAGCAGAGCACUGAAAAGGUCACCCAGUAAAAGCAGCCCACAGAAAGGGAAAUUCUUUUCAAUAUUUGAUCCCAAGCGUCGGCUCUCUGACAAGGUCUCUGUAGCAG